rnacentral:misc_RNA from 1 species
CCAAACUUGGUCAUUUAGAGGAAGUACAAGUCGUAACAAGGUAUCCGUAGGUGAACCUGCGGAUGGAUCAUUAACGAGGCAAUGAAGCAAGUAGUGUGAAUUGUAAUUGAAUGAGGUUAGUGGGUGGUGUAGUGUGGUGAUGUGGUGGAGGUUGGUUUAUGGUUGGCAGUGUGGUGUGGUGCGGUGCGGUGAUGGAGGGUGGUGAUGGUGUGGUGUGGUUAUGCUGGUGUCACAAGCACCGACAUGAUGCAUUCGCACUGAAACAUCGCAACUUAUCUCUUAUCGCACAACAGCAGCAGCAGCAGCCAUCAUAUACUCAACACAUAACUCUCCCAACACCAACUGCGCACAGCCACUAGCCGAUCGCUCAAACGUACUCAUUGACUGACGUCUUACAAAACAAAAAUAAUCAAUACAACUUUUAGCAACGGAUCUCUAGGCUCUCGCAUCGAUGAAGACGCAGC